rnacentral:lncRNA from 1 species
GCCUACGGCCCUCGGGAAUUUUAAUAAAUGACCCUCGUCGAGCGGGUGGUUUAAUGACUAAUACUCCUCAUUUCAUGAUAUUACUUAUAAUAACACGAUGUGUGUAUGCAAUGUUAAUAUACAUUUUAUGGCGUAAAUAAGUUGAAGUUCUGUUGGGAAAGUUGUAUUAUUAUCAUUAUAUUAUCGUUCGGGAUCUCAAAUAUCGAGAGGUCUCCUGGCAUUAACCUGAGUAUCAUGGCUUUAAAAUAAAGUCUGACACAAUUUAUAUACAAACUUCUUUCCGCCCCCAUCCACAGGCUGUCAAAUAUCUAUUAAAAGCAACCAGUCACAACAGUGAAAUUGACCAAACUUAUUUUAGGAUUACUAAAAAUCAUCAAUAUAAUGUACGCAAACAAACUCAUUAAUAUAGUUUAAUGUAAACUAUUGUUUCCUCUGAGCCAAUCAGAUUUACAAUCGAAAUACGGUUGUAAGGCAUGGACUUUUGUUAAGUCUUGUAUCAGGCCUAUUUAUUUACUUAUAGGCCUGAUCGCAGGUUUACCUGGCAUCUCGUGCAAUGAACUAAUAGUAGAUGGUUUUUUAUAGAUGGAAU